AACGAACGCUGGCGGCAGGCCUAAUACAUGCAAGUCGAGGGGCCCGUAAGGGCACCGGCGCACGGGUGCGUAACGCGUGGGAAUAUACCCUUCACUACGGAACAACGUCGGGAAACUGACGCUAAUACCGUAUGAUGACUCCGGUCCAAAGAUUUAUCGGUGAAGGAUUAGCCCGCGUCUGAUUAGCUAGUUGGUGAGGUAACGGCUCACCAAGGCGACGAUCAGUAGCUGGUCUGAGAGGAUGAUCAGCCACACUGGGACUGAGGCACGGCCCAGACUCCUACGGGAGGCAACAGUAAGGAAUAUUGGACAAUGGAGGAAACUCUGAUCCAGCCAUGCCGCGUGAGUGAAGAAGGCCUUCGGGUUGUAAAGCUCUUUUAAUCGUGAAGAUAAUGACGGUAGCGAUAGAAAAAGCUCCGGCUAAAUUCGUGCCAGCCGCCGCGGUAA
rnacentral:rRNA from 1 species